rnacentral:lncRNA from 1 species
UUUUCUGAAAUGUCUUUAUUUUACCUCCUUUUCAGGUGAAAAUAUACAUUAGUAGCUAAUUCUAGAUAAACAGUGUUCAUUCAGAACCAUGUAGCACUAUUCCACGCUCUUCUAGCUUCUGUUCUUACUCUUCAAAAGUCUGCUUCGGUCUACUUGUUCUUUCUAUGAUGUAUCUAAAGUGACAGAGAAAAUUAACCAUCAGUUUUCUGAGUAGUCAUGCCCUCUAGAAGCUGCGAGUCUUGCCCAAUUCUCUUUUGUAUUAUAGAAAAUUGCUGCUCCUUCAUUCCCCUGGAACUCCAUGGAUUGAAAAGUGAUUCAGCUCCAUGAGUAAUGUGAAGUUUUAUUGGUAGGUCUUCUCACUUUCAGCCUUACUUCCUGCCUCCCACAAUACCUCCUUCGUUGACUGUGAGAGAGUUGAACAUCCUUAGAUCAAAAAGCACAGAGCAGUUCAGGUAUAGCUUCUUCAUUGCUCAUUAGAUUGGGAGUAAACAUCCCUCUGAAAGUUUAACAAUCAGGCCGCAAAGAUGCCUUGGUCUUUUGGCUCCCAGAGGAGCUUGGAACAUAGCCCAUCUUAUUACUUAGGGUCUGAUUCAGCAGCUGCAUCAAGAGAAGACCAAGCAAGACUAAAAUGAUCCUUGAGCCAUUUGAAAGAGCUAGCUAUGCAGUAAUGAGGUUUGGGAACCAUAUAAAGGAAUUGAUUUGACGUCUCUGAGCAUUAUACUGAUGACUUAAUUUCUUCCUGAAUCCUUAGGGCAUGUUAGAUUCUUUGCAGGUUGAAGAUCACAUUAAUGUUGCAAUUUCUCAUGACUACCAAAAAGUAGGUAAAGAGUACGUACCUAAAUUAUAACAAGAUUACUUUGAACCUAGACCCCUCAGAAUUCCUCUGGUUGUUGUUAAAACUGUGUGUAUAAAGGAGGGGCAUGCAUAAAGAUGACUUGUGGCAUCUCACAGCCGCUCUUUUCUGUCUGUCCUGUAUCUUCUCUGACUCUCAAGUGAUCAGAUUGACACUUGGAGUCUUUUCUCAACAACCAACAUGCCAUGCUGGGAAUCCAUAUGGUUUCCAUGGAAUUCAUAUUCUGCCUGUAGUAGCAGGUGCUGUUAUUGCCAUUGCAACUCUACUUAGGUCCAGGGUAAUGCUGUGUCACUGAGAAGCCACUGCUUGAAAGAGGAGCAAGACCCCAGGGGGAAGUUUCCACAGACCGGCUACGUUUGUGUGGAUCAGUAACAGUCUGCUUCCCACUGCUGCCAUUGACCUCAUUCUGUCGCUCAUGGAAGUGGCAGUUCUGGUCAUGAGCCCCACUGUCCUCGUAAGACCUUUUGUCAGCAUCACCAGGCCCUGGCCAACUGCCGUCACUACCGUAUCUUUUCUCUUCCUAUUGACACCGAAGACACCAGCUUUACAUUUCUCUGGAACAGGCCUUGAUCUGUUUCUUGGGUUUCCUUCGUGUUGCUUCUCUUUAACUGGAGUCUUUGUCUAAACUGAGUAACCAUUUUCCUCCCAUUACCCGGACCAGAUUUUAUCAUGUAUCGGCAAGUCUCUUUUUCUUGCACAUACUAUCUGUCAUUUUCACCUGUCUGGUCAGAAUUUUCCAAUCUCUGUCACCUUGUAUUUUUUUAAUUGCUUGCCUUUGUUUAUUUGUUAAUUGAGUUGUUUGUAGAGGGGGAGGAAUGGAAUGAUUUAAUAAUUUAUACAAUCAAAAUCAUUUUUGUUUUUGUUUUCCAUGAUAUUUGCUCUUAUUAUUAUUGUUAUCUGAAACAUUGGAAUCGUCUAAGUUUUCAUCAGUGGUUUAAAUAAACAGAAUCAUUCUCGAGUAAAAUACUUUUAACACUAAGCUGCAUGAAAUGAUAUUGAAAAAUGACCUGCCAACUCUGGGUAGGGCGAAUGAGUGGGAGUUUAUCGUGGACUUCAAUGAGGAGGAAUGGGUUUUAGGUCUGAGGUCAAAUCAGUGUAAAAGUCAAUUAAAGCAACAAUUAAAUGGAGGUAUUUUAUAGGACCUGUAUGAAUAAAUAAAGUAGGUAUUGAUGUAGAUUUAAGAGAGUUGAAACAGAAUCCUUGAAGAAUUAAAAACACAUAUUGAAGUGUGUCGUUUCUUUCCCCGUGAGCACCCAGUUGGAAUUUUUUGGCACAUUUGCAAAGUAAAAAUGGGGUUGCAUGAAUUAUGCACAGUAUUCUCAACUGCACAUAGUCUCUGCACGGGAACCGUCGUGACCUCCCCCCGGGUCUUGUUGCUCCAUCCAAAAAAGAGACUAUUCGUGCUAUUAGACGUGCUGAAUUGAAUUGCAGGGGAAGAAAUAUGCAGACUAUCCCACUCCCUGCAUCCCAAACCAAAGCACCCAAAUUGCACAUUGAAUGUGUUGUUCAGACCAAAACCAUUAUAUACCCUGUGAUUCUUACAGUAGUUUAUUCUGUCUGAAAAUUACGGGUUGGCAUUUCAAAGUAAUAUUUUAGAAGAGGAAAUGGGUAUUUUAGAAGAAUAUUUCUUUUGGCAUAUGCUGUGUCAGAAUGAAACUUUUUUCCCAAUGGCAAAUUUGGGGUUUUGUCUUUGAAGGCAGAAGAGGAGAGAUGGAAAAUAGCAUGUGACUGAAAUACAUCUUUCAUAUCUUAACUUCCAACUCUUCCUUCAUAGAGUGGCCUCUGUUAAGAUUAAUUUUACUGCUACUGAAAACUGUCUGAAGAUGAGAGAGUUUCAGUAAGAAAAGCAGAGAGUAAACAAAGCUAACGUGGCAAAAACGAAUGCCAUGAAGCCUGAAUAAACACAACAUGGAUAAACUGAUUUGUUCCACUCCAUUAAGAUACAUUGAAGCUGGAGAAGCUUUUAGGACUUUGAUGUACAUAGAGGUAAAAAUGGUGUGUUUUUAUCAAGCUGAAUGCUAAUUGUUCAGAGCUCUGAAGAGGAAUAAUGGUGCUACAACAGAGUGGAUGUGUGUGAGCUUUGUGGCCUAAAACUGUCUUCUUAUCCCAACUCUGUCAUUGACUAGUUAAGUGUGAGCAAGUGACUUUAUCUAAGUCUUAUUUACCACAUCUGUCUCUGUCAGAGGGGAAUUGUUAUGUGAAGAGUGAGAAGUAAAUAAAUCAUCAAAACUAAACACAAUGAAAGAACUGAACACAAUGCCUGGCGUCCAUAUAUUAAGUUCUCAGUGAAUGCUACUAUGUAUUAUUUUCAUUUAUUAUAUGACAAAAAGAUUGUUAAAUAAGCAAUAGCGAGGUUCUUAUUUUAAAUGUGUCCAAAUUUUUAUAGUAAGUUAUACUGCUAGUAGUUUCAUAGGUGAAAGUUACCAUAAACAUGAAGUGGAAAAUUAUUGUUUAAAACAUUUUAGUAUUUUCUCAACUCUGCUGUAUCCACUUUCCUGAUUAUUCAUAAGCUCUCAGCACUUCUUCUGAAUGUAAGUACUUGUCAGUCGUCAUAAUGGCCUCCAAGGAGAGAGAUGUCAAAAAAUGCAUUUGAAGCCUGUUUUGAUGUCUACACCUGCUGAGCCCAUGUCUCUACAAUUUGACAUCAGUGGAAGCCAUAAAUGGCAAUCAUAUCAUCAGGAAAUCAGAUCCAGUCCUCAAAAUAUCUAGUGACCCAUUCUUUCAUAUGCCUGUGUGAAGAGAUUUAUAUACUCAGGAUGGUUUUGUGUGUGUGUGUGUGUGUGUGCAUGCAUGCACAUGUACAUUCAGGAUGCCAGGUCUGAGUGUUCCAGUGGUCUGCAGUGGAAUCAUCUCAAGGAGUAGCUAUGUUUGCAGAAUGGCACUGACCAUUUAGUUAAAGCCCAAUGCAUUUUAACCAUGUGUUACCACAUCCAACACAUACAGUUCUUUGCCUUGUUUGAUUACAUAGGAAUGUGGAAGGCAUAUCUGAACGGCAUAUCUUUUAAUUGUAUAACAAGAUUAAGAAUAGAAAAACUUAGGUUAAGAAAUUAUAGGGAGUUCCCGUCGUGGCUCAGGGGUUAACGAAUCCGACUGGGAACCACGAGGUUGCGUGUUCGAUCCCUGGCAUCACUCAGUGGAUUAAGGAUCCGGCAUUGCUGUGAGCUAUGAUGUAGGUUGCAGAGGCGGCUCAGAUGUGGCGUUGCUGUGGUUCUGGUGCAGCCCAGCGGCUACAACUCCGAUUAGACCCCUCUCCUGGGAAUCUCCAUAUGCCGCUAGUGUGGCCCUAGAAAAGACCAAAAAAAAAAAAAA